AAUUUCAGGGAGGUGAAUAAUCUGGGUGUCUACUCUUGGGGUAACCUGCCCUGUACACACGGUAUAACAUACCGAAAGGUAUACUAAUACGGGAUAACAUACGAAAGUCGCAUGGCUUUUGUAUCAAAGCUCCGGCGGUACAGGAUGGACCCGCGUCUGAUUAGCUAGUUGGUAAGGUAAUGGCUUACCAAGGCAACGAUCAGUAGCCGACCUGAGAGGGUGAUCGGCCACACUGGAACUGAGACACGGUCCAGACUCCUACGGGAGGCAGCAGUGGGGAAUAUUGCACAAUGGGCGAAAGCCUGAUGCAGCAACGCCGCGUGAGCGAUGAAGGCCUUCGGGUCGUAAAGCUCUGUCCUCAAGGAAGAUAAUGACGGUACUUGAGGAGGAAGCCCCGGCUAACUACGUGCCAGCAGCCGCGGUAAUACGUAGGGGGCUAGCGUUAUCCGGAAUUACUGGGCGUAAAGGGUGCGUAGGUGGUUUUUUAAGUCAGAAGUGAAAGGCUACGGCUCAACCGUAGUAAGCUUUUGAAACUAGAGAACUUGAGUGCAGGAGAGGAGAGUAGAAUUCCUAGUGUAGCGGGUGAAAUGCGUAGAUAUUAGGAGGAAUACCAGUAGCGAAGGCGGCUCUCUGGACUGUAACUGACACUGAGGCACGAAAGCGUGGGGAGCAAACAGGAUUAGAUACCCUGGUAGUCCAUCGCCCGUAAACGAUGAGGUACUCGGUGUCGGGGGGUUACCCCUCCCUCCUGUGCCUGCAGACGUAACGGAAUUAAGGUAACUUCCGUCUGGGGGAAAGUUACCCGCUUCGUAAACGAAGUGGAACAACUUC
rnacentral:rRNA from 1 species